rnacentral:rRNA from 1 species
AUCAACUUUCGAUGGUAGGAUAGAGGCCUACCAUGGUGGUAACGGGUAACGGGGUGUUAGGGCACGACACCGGAGAGGGAGCCUAAGAAACGGCUACCACAUCCAAGGAUGGCAGCAGGCGCGCAAAUUACCCAAUCCCGACACGGGGAGGUAGUGACAAUAAAUAACAAUACGGGGUUCUUUCGGAUUUCGUAAUUGGAAUGAGUACAAUUUAAAUCUCUUAACGAGGAACAAUUAGAGGGCAAGUCUGGUGCCAGCAGCCGCGGUAAUUCCAGCUCCAAUAGCGUAUAUUAAAGUUGCUGCAGUUAAAAAGCUCGUAGUUGAAUUUCGGGACCAAUAUGUCGGUCGUGCCUCGGUACGUACUGGCAUCGUUGGUUUCUCCCUUCUGAAGAACCAUGAUGUCAUUUAUUUGGUGUCGUGGGGAAUCAGGACUGUUACUUUGAAAAAAUUAGAGUGUUUAAAGCAGGCUCACGCUUGAAUACAUUAGCAUGGAAUAAUGAAAUAGGACGUUUGAUUCUAUUUUGUUGGUUUCUAGGAUCGACGUAAUGAUUAAUAGGGAUAGUUGGGGGCAUUAGUAUUCAAUUGUCAGAGGUGAAAUUCUUGGAUUUAUUGAAGACUAACCACUGCGAAAGCAUUUGCCAAGGAUGUUUUCAUUAAUCAAGAACGAAAGUUAGGGGAUCGAAGACGAUCAGAUACCGUCGUAGUCUUAACCAUAAACUAUGCCGACUAGGGAUCGGAUGAUGUCAAUUUUUUAAUGACUCAUUCGGCGCCUUACGGGAAACCAAAGUGUUUGGGUUC